rnacentral:lncRNA from 1 species
AUUAGCCCUCAACGCUCUAUAACCGAUGUGAUCGCGCUCAUCGAGUGUUCUACGGGCUGAUUCGGAUGGCAUCAUCAUCUCUUCAUCCUCAAACAACAUGUCUCCAACAUGUCCAAUGUUGUUGUCAUUGCUCCCUUGAACCUUAAAGGGUUAAUAGGAGCACGACCGCCAAUCUUGACCUAGUAGCCAUCUUUUAGGUCGGAUUGUAAAUGAAACAAUGUGGUGAGCGCGAGGUAAAGAGGUGUGAAAUCAACUCGACUUUUGUUUUUCCUAUGAUCUCCUUUCCUUUUGAGGUGAAAGAUGAGGAAAGGAAGAGU